rnacentral:lncRNA from 1 species
CACCCCACAACAGCCCUAGAGCUCAGACUUUGGCUUGUCCCAUCAUAUCAAAUCAUCAAGAUUAAAAGGUCUUCUGGCUCUUCUGAGCAGACAUAGUCAUAGUGAGAACAUGGGGCCUCUGCAAAGCAAGUGAUUUGGAGCACUCCGGGUGUAACCUGGCUGUCAAAACAGGCUGGAACAGGCAACACUUGGGACAUUCAGGGCAGGGGGAGUGCCACUAAACCAUCUCAGCAGGUGCGAUGCUGUCCUGCACCCAUCAGUUUGCAGAUCUGUCUUUUUCUCCAGGACUUCAUGAGGUGAGAAGCUCCCUUGUGACAGCCUCUGCUGCAUGGAUUCGUGACAGGAAACAGUCUACCUGA